AUACGGAGGGUGCGAGCGUUAUCCGGAUUUAUUAGGUUUAAAGGGUGUGUAGGCGGGAGCCUAAGUCAGUGGUGAAAUCUCACAGCUUAACUGUGAAACUGCCAUUGAAACUGGGUUUCUUGAGUAUAGUUGAGGUAGGCGGAAUGUGUAAUUUAGCGGUGAAAUGCAUAGAUAUUACACAGAACACCGAUUGCGAAGGCAGCUUACUAAGCUAUUACUGACGCUGAUGCACGAAAGCGUGGGUAGCGAACAGGAUUAGAAACCCCGGUAGUCC
rnacentral:rRNA from 1 species